rnacentral:lncRNA from 1 species
AUGCCCAAGAAAAAGCUGAAGGGGAUGCUACAGGCAAUAGAGCCAAGGUGAAGAACAAGCCAGAAAGAUCCGUAAGGUUGUCUGCUUAACCUGCUCCUCCAAAGCCAGAGCCCAACCCUAAAAAGUCCCCUGCAAAGGAGAGAGAGGAGGUACCCAAAAAGAAAAAGGAAAAUGCUGACACUGGCAGGGAGGGGAAUAACCCUGCAGAAAAUGAAGAUGCCAAAACAGACCAGGCACAGAAAGCUGAAGGUGCUGGAGAUGCCAAGU